rnacentral:lncRNA from 1 species
UUCUAACAUAAAACUCUCAAAUAUUACAGCAGUAGCUUGUACUCCAUGAGUUUUAAAUUCUUGUACUUUUUCGUAUCAACUUGUCCGACUUAUUCAAAUUAAGUUUCUCUGAAGAAGAGGAAAUAGGUAAAGUUUCCAAGUAAAACCGCGUCAAAACCUGUCGGAGUCCACACCAGAAGAAAGCAAACAGUGCUAUAUUAGUAGAAUAAUAUUUGUUUGCUUUGAAGCUCAAAUUGUACGUAAUAUAUAAUCAAUAAACAAGUUGAAAUAUAAUAUAGAGAGAGACUCGUGGUCUCCACGUUCCCUCAAUUAUUUUAAUCUUCAAGCUCGAUUACAAUUCGAAAUGGCUCCUGCCUUUUCUUUGUGAAUGUAUCUUCUCUGAAGGUGGUGGUGGAUGGAAAAAUAGGAUUGGAGUCAAUUGACCAAGCCCUCAAAGUGCAUGCAUGGUCUUCCCCGCCAUCACUAAGAUAGUUGUCCUCCUUUAAUAUUCAAUAUUCAAUACUUUCUACUACAGAGCUUCCCACCUGUGAAGAUAUGGCCCAUGGUUUUCAUCGGGGAUCACUUUUCGGAAAACGAGUAAUCACGC